UACGUAGGUGGCAAGCGUUUGUCCGGAUUUACUGGGCGUAAAGAGCGCGCAGGCGGUCGUUCAAGUCGCGUGUGAAAGCCCCCGGCUCAACUGGGGAGGGUCACGCGAUACUGAUCGACUCGAAGGCAGGAGAGGGUAGUGGAAUUCCCGGUGUAGUGGUGAAAUGCGUAGAGAUCGGGAGGAACACCUGUGGCGAAGGCGGCCCCCUGGGCCGGCCCUGACACUGAGACGCGAAGGCGUGGGGAGCGAACGGG
rnacentral:rRNA from 1 species